UUCCUCAGUAGCUCAAUGGUAGAGCAAUCGGCUGUUAACCGAUUGGUCGUGGGUUCGAAUCCCUCCUGGGGAGU
rnacentral:tRNA from 1 species